CAUCACUACGCUAGAUGCAUAUCAAUAAGCGGAGGAAAAGAAACUAACAAGGAUUCCCCUAGUAACGGCGAGUGAAGCGGGAAGAGCUCAAAUUUGAAAUCUUAAAGGGUUUCCCUUUACGAAUUGUAGUUUAAAGAAGUGUUUUCUAGUUGGAGUUUCGGUAAAAGUUCUUUGGAAUAGGACAUCAUAGAGGGUGAGUAUCCCGUAUUUGACCGUUACUUUCCAGCUGUGUGAUACACUUUCAAAGAGUCGGAUUGUUUGGGAAUGCAGUCCAAAAUGGGUGGUAAAUUUCAUCUAAAGCUAAAUAUUGGCGAGAGACCGAUAGCGAACAAGUACCGUGAGGGAAAGAUGAAAAGAACUUUGAAAAGAGAGUUAAACAGUAGCGUGAAAUUGUCAAAAGGGAAGCGUUUGACACCAGUGUUGUUUAGUUGAAAAUCAAUUCAAUAAUUUUUGAUUCUAAGUAGUAUUGACUUCAUCAGCUUGCUGCUUUCUUCUCAGAAUUAUUGAAUGCACUUUUCAGUUAACAAGUCAACAUCAAUUUCUUUUGUUGUAAAAGGGUAAGAGGAAGAUGGCUUACGCUUCGGCGUCAAGUGUUUAUAGCCUUUUAUCUCUGCAAUCGGAGAGAUUGAGGUACGGCAGCGUAGACUCCUUCGGGGUUAGAUACAUUGGUGCUAAGCUAUAGCCUUGUAUAGACAACUUGUUGACUAUGCUCAGUCAUGUAGCUUACUCGCUGAUGCUAUUUUACCUACGCUUAGGAUGUUGAUAGUCACAGCGUGUAC
rnacentral:rRNA from 1 species